AUUGAACGCUGGCGGCAUGCCUUACACAUGCAAGUCGAACGGCAGCACGGGUGCUUGCACCUGGUGGCGAGUGGCGAACGGGUGAGUAUUACAUCGGAACGUACCUUAUCGUGGGGGAUAACGCAGCGAAAGCUGUGCUAAUACCGCAUACGCCCUGAGGGGGAAAGCGGGGGAGCGCAAGACCUCGCGCGAUUAGAGCGGCCGAUGCCGGAUUAGCUUGUUGGGGGGGUAAAAGCCCACCAAGGCGACGAUCAGUAGCUGGUCUGAGAGGACGAUCAGCCACACUGGGACUGAGACACGGCCCAGACUCCUACGGGAGGCAGCAGUGGGGAAUUUUGGACAAUGGGAGCAACCCUGAUCCAGCAAUGCCGCGUGAGUGAAGAAGGCCUUCGGGUUGUAAAGCUCUUUUGUCAGGGAAGAAACACCGGCUCUAACACAGUCCGGGAAUGACGGUACCUGAAGAAUAAGCACCGGCUAACUACGUGCCAGCCGCCGCAGUAA
rnacentral:rRNA from 1 species